rnacentral:rRNA from 1 species
GACGAACGCUGGCGGCGUGCUUAACACAUGCAAGUCGAGCGAGGCCCCUCCUUCGGGAGGGUGUCCUAGCGGCGAACGAGUGAGUAACACGUGGGCAACCUGCCCCCGGCUCUGGGAUAACUCCAAGAAAUUGGGGCUAAUACCGGAUAUGACCGCUGACCGCAUGGUCUGGUGGUGGAAAGAUUUAUCGGCUGGGGAUGGGCCCGCGGCCUAUCAGCUGGGUGGUGGGGUAGUGGCCUACCAAGGCGACGACGGGUAGCCGGCCUGAGAGGGUGACCGGCCACACUGGGACUGAGACACGGCCCAGACUCCUACGAGAGGCAGCAGUGGGGAAUAUUGCGCAAUGGGCGGAAGCCUGACGCAGCGACGCCGCGUGGGGGAUGACGGCCUUCGGGUUGUAAACCUCUUUCAGCAGGGACGAAGCGAAAGUGACGGUACCUGCAGAAGAAGCACCGGCCAACUACGUGCCAGCCGCCGCCGUAA